rnacentral:rRNA from 1 species
CCUACGGGGGGCAGCAGUGAGGAAUAUUGGUCAAUGGGCGCGAGCCUGAACCAGCCACGCCGCGUGAAGGAUGACUGUCCUACGGGUGGUAAACUUCUUUUAUAAAGGAAUAAAGUGAGGCACGUGUGCCUUUUUGUAUGUACUUUAUGAAUAAGGAUCGGACAACUCCGUGCCAGCAGCCGCGGUAAUACGGAGGAUCCGAGCGUUAUCCGGAUUUAUUGGGUUUAAAGGGAGCGUAGAUGGGUUGUUAAGUCAGUUGUGAAAGUUUGCGGCUCAACCGUAAAAUUGCAAUUGAUACUGGCAGUCUUGAGUACAGUUGAGGUAGGCGGAAUUCGUGGUGUAGCGGUGAAAUGCUUAGAGAUCACGAAGAACUCCGAUUGCGAAGGCAGCUUACUAGACUGCCACUGACAUUGAUGCGCGAAAGUGUGGGUAGCAAACAGGAUUAGAUACCCGGGUAGUC